rnacentral:misc_RNA from 1 species
CUGAGUUCGGGGGCAAUCCAGUCCCGACCUCCAACCCUUUGUGAACAUAUCUUGUUGCUUCGGGGGCGACCCUGCCGUUCGCGGCAUUCCCCCCGGAGGUCAUCAAAACACUGCAUUAUUACGUCGGAGUAAAAAGUUAAUUUAAUA